UACGUAGGGCGCAAGCGUUAUCCGGAAUUAUUGGGCGUAAAGAGCUCGUAGGUGGUUUGUCGCGUUGUUCGUGAAAACUCACAGCUCAACUGUGGGCGUGCGGGCGAUACGGGCAGACUGGAGUACUGCAGGGGAGACUGGAAUUCCUGGUGUAGCGGUGGAAUGCGCAGAUAUCAGGAGGAACACCGGUGGCGAAGGCGGGUCUCGUGGGCAGUAACUGACGCUGAGGAGCGAAAGCGUGGGGAGCGAACAGGA
rnacentral:rRNA from 1 species